CGUGCCUAAUACAUGCAAGUCGAGCGAACAGACGAGGAGCUUGCUCCUCUGACGUUAGCGGCGGACGGGUGAGUAACACGUGGAUAACCUACCUAUAAGACUGGGAUAACUUCGGGAAACCGGAGCUAAUACCGGAUAAUAUAUUGAACCGCAUGGUUCAAUAGUGAAAGACGGUUUUGCUGUCACUUAUAGAUGGAUCCGCGCCGCAUUAGCUAGUUGGUAAGGUAACGGCUUACCAAGGCAACGAUGCGUAGCCGACCUGAGAGGGUGAUCGGCCACACUGGAACUGAGACACGGUCCAGACUCCUACGGGAGGCAGCAGUAGGGAAUCUUCCGCAAUGGGCGAAAGCCUGACGGAGCAACGCCGCGUGAGUGAUGAAGGUCUUCGGAUCGUAAAACUCUGUUAUUAGGGAAGAAUAAACGUGUAAGUAACUAUGCACGUCUUGACGGUACCUAAUCAGAAAGCCACGGCUAACUACGUGCCAGCAGCCGCGGUAAUACGUAGGUGGCAAGCGUUAUCCGGAAUUAUUGGGCGUAAAGCGCGCGUAGGCGGUUUUUUAAGUCUGAUGUGAAAGCCCACGGCUCAACCGUGGAGGGUCAUUGGAAACUGGAAAACUUGAGUGCAGAAGAGGAAAGUGGAAUUCCAUGUGUAGCGGUGAAAUGCGCAGAGAUAUGGAGGAACACCAGUGGCGAAGGCGACUUUCUGGUCUGUAACUGACGCUGAUGUGCGAAAGCGUGGGGAUCAAA
rnacentral:rRNA from 1 species